GUCUUUUUGUUUAUGAUUUAAAGUCUAACCUGCCCAAUGAAAGUAAUUUAAUGGCCGCAGUAUUUUAACUGUGCGAAGGUAGCAUAAUAAUUAGUUUUUUAAUUGAAAACUAGAAUGAAUGGUUGGACGAGAAAAAAGCUGUCUCAAUUUAAAUUUAAUUAAAAUUUUAUUUUUAAGUUAAAAAGCUUAAAUAAUUUUAAAAGACGAGAAGACCCUAUAGAGUUUUAUAUUAUAUAUUUAUUUUAUAAAUAAAGAAUUUAAUUUAUUUAAUUUUUGUAUAGUAUUUGAUUGGGGUGAUUUAAAAAUUAAAUAAACUUAUUAUUAAUUAAACCAUUUAUUUAUGAUUAUUUGAUCCAUAUAUUAUGAUUAAAAGAUUAAAUUACCUUAGGGAUAACAGCGUAAUUUUUUUUUAGAGUUCUUAUUGAAAAAAAAGUUUGCGACCUCGAUGUUGGAUUAAA
rnacentral:rRNA from 1 species